GAAAUGACGAUCUGUUUUAAAAUCCGAUUCAUCUUUACAUGCCAUCUGUGAUUUAGAACAGUAGCGUUAUCCGUCGACAGAGCUACUUAAGCGCAGUGGCUAGACGAAAUUGAUUCAGUUCAGGGCUCUGGUGUUUGAAGGGGGAUAGAGAAAAUGGACGUGGCGCUGGAUGUUUAUGUCGCUGUUCCGCUCCUCUUCACUGUGCUGGCUGUUGUCAUCGCCUCGUUAUAUCUGAAAUUCAGACCUUCCGAUGCCAGUGCUGAAGAACAGGACGCGAGUUCUAAAGUUGACGGGAGUAAAGCCGAUGAGGAAACAAGGAGGAAAGAUACGGAGGAGGCGACGAAGCCUGAAGAUGUGAGCCAAGAGCAGGCGGAGAAGAGAGAUGAAAAGCCAGAGAAAACCAAAGACAAACUGCCGGUGGAAGAGAUCGGAGCCGAAGAGGGAAAUCUUCAGAACCAAGAAUCAACUAAAAACUCUGAGAAGGAGCCCGCGGCUGCUGAGAAGAGCCCCCAGACUAACGACGCGAAACAAGAGCCCAGUAACCCUGAAGAGAAGCUCAAAAAGGAAGAAGAUGAAGCAGAAGUUGAGAGUACGAAAAAAUCCCCCUCUGAAAGCACUGAUGAUCUCGUUGAUGAGUACUGUCCGGGCAAGAUUCGAGGUGGCAGCAGCUAUGAAAAAAUGCUGACAAGAGAAGAAUUGGAGGAAGAACAAAGGGUUGAAUUAACCCCUGACCUCACCUCGGUGUAGGUUCUAAGCCUGAUGACACUAUUUCUGUAGCAAUAUAUUGGAUGCAAAGAAUCUCCCGAGCGGAUGAGUAGAACCAAUCGGGAGAGCCUUUCAUGCAUGCGAAGGAAUUAAGUGGCUGUGGGCUUGAAUUUUCAGAUGUCAAACCCAAAAAACCGACAAGUUUAUCCUCAGUAGGGAGGUGCUGUUGAAGAUUCUGUAAUAGAUGUUGCAGUAGAGUCUAAUACAAUAGCAUACAUUUAAUUUAGUCACUUAAUUCACUACUUUCAGUUAAGAGCUACAUAUUGCAGACUAUCAAACACAAUGUUAAAGUUAGUGCACAGCAAACUGUAUAUCUUGGUGGAACUAAUGCAGGACAACCUUUUUUGUUUGUUGGUUUCUAUGAACAAUGUAAAAUUGUUUGGUUUGUUUAAGCCUUAAUGCAGAAUUUGUUAACAGGGUUGUAGUGAUUAACUUUUUUUCCUGGGGAUGUUUUAGUUCAAGAUGGAUUUGUAAUUUGAAAUGGCAACAUUUGCUUUAUCUAUUACAUAUGUCUCUACCUUUUUGACAAUGUUCAAUAAAGUCUUGAUUACUAGA